AGCAGUAGCCGCGGUAAUACGUAGGGUGCGAGCGUUAAUCGGAAUUACUGGGCGUAAAGCGUGCGCAGGCGGUUCGUUAAGACAGAUGUGAAAUCCCCGGGCUUAACCUGGGAACUGCAUUUGUGACUGACGGGCUAGAGUAUGGCAGAGGGGGGUAGAAUUCCACGUGUAGCAGUGAAAUGCGUAGAGAUGUGGAGGAAUACCGAUGGCGAAGGCAGCCCCCUGGGCCAAUACUGACGCUCAUGCACGAAAGCGUGGGGAGCAAACAGGAUUAGAUACCCGCGUAGUCCCUGUCUCUUAUAC
rnacentral:rRNA from 1 species